rnacentral:rRNA from 1 species
UACGUAGGUGGCGAGCGUUGUCCGGAUUUAUUGGGCGUAAAGCGCGCGCAGGUGGUCCGUUAAGUCCUGUGUGAAAUCUCCCGGCUCACCCGGGAGGGGGCGCGGGAUACUGGGGGACUGGAGGCAGGCAGAGGCCGGUGGAAUUCCCGGUGUAGUGGUGAAAUGCGUAGAGAUCGGGAGGAACACCAGUGGCGAAAGCGGCCGGCUGGGCCUGUUCUGACACUGAGGCGCGAAAGCGUGGGGAGCGAACCGG